CAGUAGCCGCGGGAAUACGCAGGGUGCAAGCGUUAAUCGGAAUUACUGGGCGUAAAGCGUGCGCAGGCGGUUUGUUAAGACAGAUGUGAAAUCCCCGGGCUCAACCUGGGAACUGCAUUUGUGACUGGCAAGCUAGAGUGUGGCAGAGGGGGGUGGAAUUCCGCGUGUAGCAGUGAAAUGCGUAGAUAUGCGGAGGAACACCGACGGCGAAGGCAGCCCCCUGGGCCAACACUGACGCUCAUGCACGAAAGCGUGGGGAGCAAACAGGAUUAGAUACCCGUGUAGUCCCUGUCUCUUAUAC
rnacentral:rRNA from 1 species